rnacentral:rRNA from 1 species
UGUUACGACUUCACCCCAGUCAUGAAUCACUCCGUGGUAACCGUCCCCCUUGCGGUUAGACUAGCUACUUCUGGAGCAACCCACUCCCAUGGUGUGACGGGCGGUGUGUACAAGGCCCGGGAACGUAUUCACCGUGACAUUCUGAUUCACGAUUACUAGCGAUUCCGACUUCACGCAGUCGAGUUGCAGACUGCGAUCCGGACUACGAUCGGUUUUAUGGGAUUAGCUCCACCUCGCGGCUUGGCAACCCUUUGUACCGACCAUUGUAGCACGUGUGUAGCCCUGGCCGUAAGGGCCAUGAUGACUUGACGUCAUCCCCACCUUCCUCCGGUUUGUCACCGGCAG